rnacentral:rRNA from 1 species
AUGAACGCUGGCGGCGUGCCUAAUACAUGCCAGUCGAGCGAACAGACGAGGAGCUUGCUCCUCUGACGUUAGCGGCGGACGGGUGAGUAACACGUGGAUAACCUACCUAUAAGACUGGGAUAACUUCGGGAAACCGGAGCUAAUACCGGAUAAUAUAUUGAACCGCAUGGUUCAAUAGUGAAUGACGGUUUUGCUGUCACUUAUAGAUGGAUCCGCGCCGCAUUAGCUAGUUGGUAAGGUAACGGCUUACCAAGGCAACGAUGCGUAGCCGACCUGAGAGGGUGAUCGGCCACACUGGAACUGAGACACGGUCCAGACUCCUACGGGAGGCAGCAGUAGGGAAUCUUCCGCAAUGGGCGAAAGCCUGACGGAGCAACGCCGCGUGAGUGAUGAAGGUCUUCGGAUCGUAAAACUCUGUUAUUAGGGAAGAACAAAUGUGUAAGUAACUAUGCACGUCUUGACGGUACCUAAUCAGAAAGCCACGGCUAACUACGUG